rnacentral:rRNA from 1 species
UGGGGAAUAUUGGGCAAUGGACGAAAGUCUGACCCAGCAACGCCGCGUGAGGGAAGAAGGUCUUCGGAUUGUAAACCUUUGUCUUUGGAGACGAAAAAAAUGACGGUAUCCAAAAAGGAAGCUCCGGCUAACUACGUGCCAGCAGCCGCGGUAAUACGUAGGGAGCAAGCGUUAUCCGGAAUUACUGGGUGUAAAGGGUGCGUAGGCGGGAGAUAAAGUCAGAUGUGAAAGGCCAAGGCUUAACCUUGGAUGUGCAUUUGAAACUUAUCUUCUUGAGUGAAGUAGAGGCAAGCGGAAUUCCCAGUGUAGCGGUAAAAUGCGUAGAUAUUGGGAGGAACACCAGUGGCGAAGGCGGCUUGCUGGGCUUUAACUGACGCUGAGGCACGAAAGCAUGGGGAGCAAACAGG